rnacentral:rRNA from 1 species
CGCGUAGGCGGCCGAAUAAGUCGGAUGUGAAAUCCCUGGGCUUAACCUAGGAACUGCAUUCGAUACUGCUCGGCUAGAGUAUGGUAGAGGAAAGCGGAAUUCCCGGUGUAGCGGUGAAAUGCGUAGAUAUCGGGAGGAACAUCAGUGGCGAAGGCGGCUUUCUGGACCAAUACUGACGCUGAGGCGCGAAAGCGUGGGUAGCAAACA